CAGCACCUCAAGUGGUCAGGAUGAUUAUUGGGCCUAAAGCAUCCGUAGCCGGCGCUGUAAGUUUUCGGUUAAAUCUGUACGCUGAACGUACAGGCUGCCGGGAAUACUGCAGAGCUAGGGAGUGGGAGAGGUAGACGGUACUCGGUAGGAAGGGGUAAAAUCCUUUGAUCUAUUGAUGACCACCUGUGGCGAAGGCGGUCUACCAGAACACGUCCGACGGUGAGGGAUGAAAGCUGGGGGAGCAAACCGGAUUAGAUACCCGAGUAGUCC
rnacentral:rRNA from 1 species